GCCCUAGUAACGGCGAGUGAAGCGGCAACAGCUCAAAUUUGAAAGGGGAAGCCGCCUGUCUAAGUUUGGAACAGGACGUCAUAGAGGGUGAGAAUCCCGUAUGUGACAGGAAAUGGCACCCUAUGUAAAUCUCCUUCGACGAGUCGAGUUGUUUGGGAAUGCAGCUCUAAAUGGGAGGUAAAUUUCUUCUAAAGCUAAAUAUUGGCGAGAGACCGAUAGCGCACAAGUAGAGUGAUCGAAAGAUGAAAAGCACUUUGGAAAGAGAGUUAAAAAGCACGUGAAAUUGUUGAAAGGGAAGCGCUUGCAAUCAGACUUGUUUAAACUGUUCGGCCGGUCUUCUGACCGGUUUACUCAGUUUGGACAGGCCAGCAUCAGUUUCGGCGGCCGGAUAAAGGCUCUGGGAAUGUGGCCUCCACUUCGGUGGAGGUGUUAUAGCCCAGGGUGUAAUACGGCCAGCCGGGACUGAGGUCCGCGCUUCGGCUAGGAUGCUGGCGUAAUGGUUGUAAGCGACCCG
rnacentral:rRNA from 1 species